rnacentral:rRNA from 1 species
AACCCGACUCCAUGAAGCUGGAUUCGCUAGUAAUCGCGCAUCAGCCACGGCGCGGUGAAUACGUUCCCGGGCCUUGUACACACCGCCCGUCAAGCCAUGGAAGCCGGGAGUGCCUGAAGUACGCGACCGCAAGGAGCGUCCUAAGGUAAAACCGGUGACUGGGGCUAAGUCGUAACAAGGUAAC